AAGUCGUAACAAGGUUUCCGUAGGUGAACCUGCGGAAGGAUCAUUACCGAGUUAGGGUCUUCUGGGCCCGACCUCCUACCCUAUGUCUACCUUACCUCUUGUUGCUUCGGCGGAUCCGUCCCUUAGGGGACCGCCGGAGGGCCUUUAAACCGCUCUCUGGCCCGCGUCCGUCGAUGGCCUAUCAUUAAAACUCUUGCUGAAACGUGUCGUCUGAGUCUUAAAAACAAAUAAGUAAAAACUUUCAACAACGGAUCUCUUGGUUCUG
rnacentral:misc_RNA from 1 species